rnacentral:tRNA from 1 species
UUCCUGGAGGACUAGUGGUUAGGCCACAGCGCUUUCACCGCUGCGGCCUGCAUUCGAUUCCUGGCCAGGAAA